UAAUCCUAGUUUGUUCCCCAGCUUACGUGGGGUCAGGCAAGAUAAAGCUACUUUCGUUGUGGGCUUCUUUCCCCCGGGAACGUAUAACAGUCUUGGAGGUAUUUCGCUUUAGUGAUGAGAUGUCCUUAACCACCCUUUACGCCGAAGCUGUCAACUUGAGCCUCAUCGUGUGACCGCGGUUGCUGGCACGAGAUUUAC
rnacentral:rRNA from 1 species